GCCAGCACCAUCGAGGACAUGGCAGCCAGACACAAAAAGUAUUUUUAGAAAAUGAAUGAAACGCAGGUCAACUAAUAAAGGUCUGGAGCAGGACACUUCCCUGCUAUGUGCUAACCUGAUGAUGACCUUGUUCCAGGAAAUCUCUUCUUAGACAGCUCCCUUCCACAAUAUUUCAGGUUUCUUCUGGCAUAUAAAAGGAGAAGAAUAACUUAAGAAGACUGGCAGAUGAUUCCAUUCAUCCGUUAAACCCACCACUUCCGACCUUACCCGAUGACUCCACUUCCAGCUUUUACAUUCCACAUCAUGUCCACUCGACCUUCUUCCCAGCAUUCCAUCUGUGUUAAAUUUCCUGUCAGUCACUAUAUAAA